rnacentral:rRNA from 1 species
UACGUAGGCAGCAAGCGUUGUUCGGAGUUACUGGGCGUAAAGAGUGCGUAGGCGGUCUUUUAAGUUUGGUGUGAAAUCUCCCGGCUCAACUGGGAGGGUGCGCCGAAAACUGGGAGGCUUGAGGAUGGGAGAGGCAUGCGGAAUUCCUGGUGUAGCGGUGAAAUGCGUAGAUAUCAGGAGGAACACCUGCGGUGUAGACAGCAUGCUGGACCAUUUCUGACGCUGAGGCACGAAAGCGUGGGAGCAAC